rnacentral:rRNA from 1 species
UACGUAGGGUGCAAGCGUUAAUCGGAAUUACUGGGCGUAAAGCGUGCGCAGGCGGUUUUGCAAGACAGAUGUGAAAUCCCCGGGCUUAACCUGGGAAUGGCGAUGGUGACUGCAAGGCUAGAGUUUGGCAGAGGGGGGUAGAAUUCCACGUGUAGCAGUGAAAUGCGUAGAGAUGUGGAGGAACACCGAUGGCGAAGGCAGCCCCCUGGGUCAAGACUGACGCUCAUGCACGAAAGCGUGGGGAGCAAACAGG